UACACGCUGUGACUAGCAUAUCAAUAAGCGGAGGAAAAGAAACUAACAAGGAUUCCCCUAGUAACGGCGAGUGAAGCGGGAAGAGCUCAAAUUUGAAAUCUUAAAGGGUUUCCCUUUACGAAUUGUAGUUUAAAGAAGUGUUUUCUGUUGAGGUUUUGGUAAAAGUUCUUUGGAAUAGGACAUCAUAGAGGGUGAGAAUCCCGUAUUUGACCUUUACUUUCAACUUUGUGAUACACUUUCAAAGAGUCGGAUUGUUUGGGAAUGCAGUCCAAAAUGGGUGGUAAAUUUCAUCUAAAGCUAAAUAUUGGCGAGAGACCGAUAGCGAACAAGUACCGUGAGGGAAAGAUGAAAAGAACUUUGAAAAGAGAGUUAAACAGUACGUGAAAUUGUCAAAGGGAAGCGUUUGACACCAGUGUUGUUUUUCUGAAAAUCAAUUAAAGAACUGUUUAUGCUAAGUUGUUUAGACUUUAUCAGCUAUCUGUUUAGUUUUGAGCUUUUCUUUAAUGCACUUUUCAGUUAACAAGUCAACAUCAAUUUCUUUUGCUGUAAAAAAGCUUGAGGAAGGUGGCUUGAGAUUCGUCUUAAGUGUUUAUAGCCUCUUGCCUAUGCAGUCGGAGAGAUUGAGGUCUGCAGCGUAGAUCCUUCGGGGCUAAAUGCAUUUGUGCUAAGUUAUAGCAUUUUAUAGACAACUUGUUGACUAUGAUUUGUCUUGUAGCUUACUCGCUUAUGUUAUUUUACCUACGCUUAGGAUGUUGAAGAUGUAGCACAUCAU
rnacentral:rRNA from 1 species